UACGUAGGGGGCAAGCGUUGUCCGGAUUUACUGGGCGUAAAGGGCGCGUAGGUGGCCCGGUCAGUUCGUGGUGAAAGCGCGGGGCUCAACCCUGCGUCGGCCAUGAAUACUGCCGCGGCUGGAGCACUGUAGAGGCAGGCGGAAUUCCGGGUGUAGCGGUGGAAUGCGUAGAGAUCCGGAAGAACACCGGUGGCGAAGGCAAUCCCCUGGGCCUGCACUGACGCUCAUGCACGAAAGCGUGGGGAGCAAACAGG
rnacentral:rRNA from 1 species